GCCGGGCGCAGUGGCGCACGCCUGUAGUCCCAGCUACUCGGGAGGCUGAGGCAGGAGGAUCGCUUGAGCCCAGGAGUUCUGGGCUGUAGUGCGCUAUGCCGAUCGGGUGUCCGCACUAAGUUCGGCCAUCAAUAUGGUGACCUCCCGGGAGCAGGGGACCACCAGGUUGCCUAAGGAGGGGUGAACCGGCCCAGGUCAGAAACGGAGCAGGUCAAAACUCCCGUGCUGAUCAGUAUUUUAUGCAGAUGCAUACCCAGGGUGGGAUUGCCGGAUCUCCAUUUUUAUUUCCUGAGGAACCUCCCU
ensembl:misc_RNA Metazoa_SRP Metazoan signal recognition particle RNA